AACGAACGCUGGCGGCAGGCCUAACACAUGCAAGUCGAACGAGAAGCCACCUUCGGGUGGUGGACAGUGGCAGACGGGUGAGUAACGCGUGGGAACGUGCCUUUCGGUUCGGGAUAACCCAGGGAAACUUGGGCUAAUACCGGAUACGCCCUCCGGGGGAAAGAUUCAUCGCCGAAAGAUCGGCCCGCGUCGGAUUAGCUAGUUGGUAGGGUAAUGGCCUACCAAGGCGACGAUCCGUAGCUGGUCUGAGAGGAUGACCAGCCACACUGGGACUGAGACACGGCCCAGACUCCUACGGGAGGCAGCAGUGGGGAAUAUUGGACAAUGGGCGAAAGCCUGAUCCAGCCAUGCCGCGUGGGUGAAGAAGGCCUUAGGGUUGUAAACCCCUUUCAGCGGGGAAGAUAAUGACGGUACCCGCAGAAGAAGUCCCGGCUAACUCCGUGCCAGCCGCCGCGGUAA
rnacentral:rRNA from 1 species